rnacentral:rRNA from 1 species
CCAAAACAAAAAAUUAGUGUUAGGGCAUUUUUGUGUCCUAUCAUUAUUAUCCCGUGAAUAUAAGGUUGAUGUAAAGGAUUUUUUAAUUAAAAUCGUUUACUCUUUUAUUAUAUAAACUUGAUUUUAUUAUUUAUACUGAUCUUAGAUUUUUUAUUCAAAAAGUCAAUUUUUCAAAUGAAAAAACAACUUUUAACAGUGGAUGUCUAGGCUCGCACAUCGAUGAAGAACGCUGCGAACUGCGAUACGUAAUGCGAAUUGCAGGAUUCAGUGAGUCAUUGAAAUUUUGAACGCAUAUUGCACUUUCGGUUUAUUGCUGGAAGUAUGCUUGUAUCAGUGUCUGUAUUAUACCUCAUUCUUUCAUUAGAAUGGUUAUUGAGAGUUUGUCUUGUUAAAAGAUAAUCUUUUGAAAUAUAGGAUAAAAUAAAGAUACUUUAUUUACAUUAUGGUAAAUCCUUUUUGGAUCAUUAUAAUAUAAAUAGGUACUUCUUUAUAAUCUCUAUGGGAUGUUAUACUUAACCAAUUUAUCUUUUUGGACCUGAUAUCAAGUAAGAGUACCCGCUGAAUUUAAGCAUAUCAAUA